UUGGGAGCUCACUGCCUUCAUAGUCAUGGGAACUCCGAAGUUAAGCAAGUUUGGGCUAGAGCAAUCCCAGGAUGGCUGACCCACUGGGAAGUUACUCGUGAGUUCCCAGA
rnacentral:rRNA from 1 species